GACGAACGCUGGCGGCGUGCCUAACACAUGCAAGUCGAACGGAAAGGCCCUGCUUUUGUGGGGUGCUCGAGUGGCGAAGGGGUGAGUAACACGUGUGUAACCUGCCCUUGACUUUGGGAUAACUUCAGGAAACUGGGGCUAAUAUCGGAUAGGAGCUCCUGCUGCAUGGGGGGGGUUGGAAAGUUUCGGCGGUUGGGGAUGGACUCGCGGCUUAUGAGCUUGUUGGUGGGGUAGGGGUUUACCCAGGCUUUGACGGAUAGGCGGCCUGGGAGCGUGGCCGGCCACAAUGGGCCUACGGUAGGGCGCAGACUGCAACGGGAGGCAGCGGUCGGGAGUCUUACACAGUGAGCCGGAGCCUGUUACGACGGCGCCGGGUUCGGAAUGCCCGCCUUCGGGUUAUAAACCGCUUUCGCCUGAGACGAAGCGUGAGUGACGGUAAUGAAUAAAGAAGCACCGGCUAACUACGUG
rnacentral:rRNA from 1 species